rnacentral:rRNA from 1 species
CGGUAUCCUGACCGUGCAAAGGUAGCAUAAUCAUUUGCCUUUUAAUUGAAGGCUAGUAUGAAUGGGUAGACGCAGAUUUAACUGUUUCUUUUUUAAUUUUAAAACUUAAACUUUAGGUGAAGAUGCCUAAAUUCCAUAGAAAGACAAGAAGACCCUAUAGAGUUUUAGUAAUCUUUAUUAUUCUCUUAUAUUUUUACUUUGGUUGGGGCGACCUAGGAUUAUAAUAAACAUCCUUUUUUUAUAAGAUUUAUAAAUCAUAUUAUAAUUGACCCUAUUAUAGACAAUCAGAAUCAACUACCUUAGGGAUAACAGGCUUAUCUUCCUAGAGAGCUCUUAUCGAUAGGAUGGUUUGGCACCUCGAUGUUGGCUUAGAG